GCCUGCGUAGCUUAAGAAAAGCACGACUCUGAAGAAGUCAAGAUGGGCCCUAAGAAGCCCCGCGGACA
rnacentral:tRNA from 1 species